AAUUUAAUUCAGCACAUGAGGAUUCACACUGGUGAAAAGCCGUUUUCAUGUGUGACCUGUUUAAAAAGUUUUAGUCAUAAACAUAGUUUAACUAAGCACAUGACGCGUCACACAGUUGAAAAGCUGUAGAAGUAUGUUCCAUAAAUGUCCUGUGUUGUAUUUGUUAAAUGUGAUCAUUUUGAUCUUCACAUUUGGAUACUUAGAGAUGUUCAACCAUGACACAUUUUCCUUCAUUGAUGUUUUAUAUUUCUGGUAUAUUCUGUAUCAAAAAACAAUAAUGAUAAACUGUA